GACCUCGGAUCAGGUAGGAAUACCCGCUGAACUUAAGCAUAUCAAUAAGCGGAGGAAAAGAAACCAACAGGGAUUGCCUCAGUAACGGCGAGUGAAGCGGCAAAAGCUCAAAUUUGAAAUCUGACCCUUCGGGUCCGAGUUGUAAUUUGCAGAGGAUGUUUCGGGUAAGAUUUAGGUCUAAGUUCCUUGGAACAGGACGUCAUAGAGGGUGAGAAUCCCGUACGUGACCGUUGAUCGCACCCAUGUGAAACUCCUUCGACGAGUCGAGUUGUUUGGGAAUGCAGCUCAAAAUGGGUGGUAAAUUUCAUCUAAAGCUAAAUAUUGGCCAGAGACCGAUAGCGCACAAGUAGAGUGAUCGAAAGAUGAAAAGCACUUUGAAAAGAGAGUUAAACAGUAUGUGAAAUUGUUGAAAGGGAAGCGCUUGCAACCAG
rnacentral:rRNA from 1 species